rnacentral:rRNA from 1 species
GAUGAACGCUGGCGGCGUGCCUAAUACAUGCAAGUCGAGCGAACAGACGAGGAGCUUGCUCCUCUGACGUUAGCGGCGGACGGGUGAGUAACACGUGGAUAACCUACCUAUAAGACUGGGAUAACUUCGGGAAACCGGAGCUAAUACCGGAUAAUAUAUUGAACCGCAUGGUUCAAUAGUGAAAGACGGUUUUGCUGUCACUUAUAGAUGGAUCCGCGCCGCAUUAGCUAGUUGGUAAGGUAACGGCUUACCAAGGCAACGAUGCGUAGCCGACCUGAGAGCGUGAUCGGCCACACUGGAACUGAGACACGGUCCAGACUCCUACGGGAGGCAGCAGUAGGGAAUCUUCCGCAAUGGGCGAAAGCCUGACGGAGCAACGCCGCGUGAGUGAUGAAGGUCUUCGGAUCGUAAAACUCUGUUAUUAGGGAAGAACAAAUGUGUAAGUAACUAUGCACGUCUUGACGGUACCUGAUCAGAAAGCCACGGCUAACUACGUG